rnacentral:rRNA from 1 species
UACGGAGGGUGCGAGCGUUGUCCGGAAUCACUGGGCGUAAAGGGCGCGUAGGCGGCUCGUUAAGUGGUCGGUGAAAGCCCCCGGGCUCAACCUGGGAACUGCAUUCGAGACUGCAUUACUCGAGUAUGGGAGAGGGCAGUGGAAUUUUCCGGUGUAGCGGUGAAAUGCGUAGAUAUCGGAAGGAACAUCAGUGGCGAAAAGCGACUGCCUGGCCCAAUACUGACGCUCAUGUGCGAAAGCGUGGGGAGCAAACAGG